UACGAAGGGUGCAAACGUUGCUCGGAAUUAUUGGGCGUAAAGCGCACGUAGGCGGCUUAGCAAGUCGGAAGUGAAAGCCCUCAGCUUAACUGAGGAAGUGCGCCCGAAACUGCAGAGCUUGAGUACCGGAGAGGAUGGUGGAAUUCCCCAAGUAGAGGUGAAAUUCGUAGAUAUGGGGAGGAACACCGGUGGCGAAGGCGACCAUCUGGACGGAUACUGACGCUGAGACGCGAAAGCGUGGGGAGCGAACAGG
rnacentral:rRNA from 1 species